rnacentral:rRNA from 1 species
UAAAGCGGAGGAAGGUGGGGAUGACGUCAAAUCAUCAUGCCCCUUAUGACCUGGGCUACACACGUGCUACAAUGGGCGGUACAAAGGGUCGCGAACCCGCGAGGGGGAGCCAAUCCCAAAAAGCCGCUCUCAGUUCGGAUUGCAGGCUGCAACUCGCCUGCAUGAAGCCGGAAUCGCUAGUAAUCGCGGAUCAGCAUGCCGCGGUGAAUACGUUCCCGGGCCUU